UUGCUUCCACUGAGAAGAUAGUGGCGAACGGGUGAGUAACACGUGGGUAACCCUGCCCAUAAGAGGGGGAUAACAUCCGGAAACGGGUGCUAAUACCGCAUAGUUUUCUUGAUCGCAUGAUUGAGAAAGGAAAGACGGCCUUUGUGCUGUCGCUUAUGGAUGGACCCGCGGCGUAUUAGUUAGUUGGUGAGGUAACGGCUCACCAAGACGAUGAUACGUAGCCGACCUGAGAGGGUGAUCGGCCACAUUGGGACUGAGACACGGCCCAAACUCCUACGGGAGGCAGCAGUAGGGAAUCUUCCGCAAUGGACGAAAGUCUGACGGAGCAACGCCGCGUGAGUGAAGAAAAGGUUUUCGGAUCGUAAAACUCUGUUGUCAGAGAAGAACAAGUUGGAGAGUAACUGCUCCAGCCUUGACGGUAUCUGACCAGAAAGCCACGGCUAACUACGUGCCAGCAGCGGC
rnacentral:rRNA from 1 species